rnacentral:lncRNA from 1 species
CGCUUGCUAGGCAAGCGCUCUACCACUGAGCUAAAUCCCCAACCCCUAUGUCCCGUAUUCUAGAUGGUGUCCACCCCAGCUCAUUUGCGACCCUGUCACUUGCCCCUUUCUGGACUCAGUUUCCCCAUUACAAAUCGGAUGCAACAGCAUGCUCGAGCCCUACAGCCUGGAAUUUUGUGUGCAUGCUCAGCAAGCAUUCUGAGCCACAUCCUCGGCCUCCCAGCUUGGCUCGUAACCGGCAGGCCUCUGGAUCCACCUAGAAGGAAUAAUUACAGUUCUGUACAGUGUAGACAAAGUGUGAAGUGUGUUUUCUUGUUGGUCUUUAGAUCUCUUUGCCCAGUGGGGAGACAGAGUCAGUAACCAACUUUACAGAUAAAAAUCUUGUCUCAAAACGUGGUUCUGACCUAAGUGCCCCAUUUUCCAGAUGAGAUGAAGACAAAAGAAAUCCAG